GAAAAAUAAGCUAAUUUAAGCUUUUGGAUUCAUAAUUCAACUAUAGGAAACCUUUUUUCUAG
rnacentral:tRNA from 1 species